AGUCCUUGUUUAUCGGCAAAAUGUUAAAACUUUAUGCCCGAGUAGACUUUUUUUCAAAUGCAUGACGUCACGGGCAGCUAUAGUGCGAGAACUUCAAGAUGUUGUCGCCACUAGUCUGAUUUUUCUUAAAUUAUUAUUGCGCCCUUUUCCUGGCUUACCAACUCCACGGGCGAGGCAGGACUGACAUUUUAGGUUUUCCAGAUGUGUAAUUUACGAAUAUGGAUUGAUUUUUUUUUCAAUUCCUCUUUAGUACGUAUCCCAUAAUCGCAUAUAUGGAAACUGACAACCCAACUGCCGAAUAGGUUAGAUGUUACAAACGAAGCCGCGCCAGGCUUAAUAAAGCCUGUGCAACUGCUGCAUUCACCAAAACAUUAAAGGGGCAGUAAAGAGAAACAGUAAAACCAGUUUACAGUGAUCUUGGCUGUCGCGGCUCGGUAAAUGCCAUUGAAGCUUGUCAAGUUAAGUCUGUGGACGCUUUUUGGAAUGCAGCGUCGGUCAUAUUUACCAACAAAAACUUAACUUGGCCUGACGUCACGACGUCAAGUCUUGACGUCACGGCGAAGUGGUGCGGGAACUUCAAAGGAGAAGCCUUCUCACAAUGUAACUUCUUGGAAUUGUAGACCCCGGGUAUAAUUUACUACUACACGCUCGAAUUAUUUUUUCUAUGUAGUGUCCCUUAAACACGAAACACGAACUAAGUGCUUCUGGCUUCCGCAAAGUAUAUAGUAGUACGAAAGCUACCUUUCUGCGAAGGUGCAGGUCAGAUUGGCCAGGCAUUUUUCUCUCUUUCCAGUUUUGCUUUACAACGUGACAUCUAAGUUAGCCUUUGGACGUGCGAAAAACUCCUUCUAGAAAGGAACAGGCAGUCCAGUUACGUAUACGUCUGCUUUCACCCGGAAGAGCUCAGCGGUCAAAGCAACGGCGCCGUAGACUUCUAGUUUCGCCAGCCCUGAGAACA